CCUGGGUCUCUGAUAUGAUUCAGAAGCCUUAACAGAAGUAAUAGGAAGAAUCUGCAAAUCCCAAUCUUUCUCCACAGAAGGAAACCUACCCAGAAAUUUCAAGUAACUUUCAUAACUAUCAGCUGCACCUGCUAACCAAAACUUAUCAUAAUGAAUCUUCAACAAUUUCCCUAAUUCUUCAACAAACCCACCAUCAUCGUUGACAAAAGACUUCAACUCUCCAAAACUCACUAUAACACCCGGUCCCACACACUCCUCCACUAUGGCAGCAAUCUGCUUUAACUUCAAACUCACCACCUCGCAGUCACCACUCUCUAACUCCUUCCCAAUACAAAUCACUCGCAACCCGUCAAGUUCCAAAGGUAAAACUCCUUCUCUCCGCUUCUCCACAGCCUCGGUAAAGCUUCUCAGAGCAUCGUUACCACAUGCUCCAAGAAGCAGAGGAUUUUUCCCUUUACUUCGAACAAGAAUCUCCCCAAUUCUCCGGAAAUUCUCAUCUACAUCACCAACCCCAGAUAAAAACGGAAAGCCUAAUCCAAAUCCAAACCCAGCCCCCCGGCGUGGCUGCUCCGGCAGGUUACACAGAAAAACCGGUGGACCACGACGGAAGAGAUGGGGAAGUGGCCGGAGAAUUGCAAGCUUAAUCUCGGAGCUUCGAAAACCAGCUUCAGCGAAAACUCUACUAACAACCGGGUCAUCAAGAACUGACAAAACCAAAUGCUGCAACUCAACUUUAACAGAACUAACAGAAAACGUUUGUUGACUCUGCAACUGUUGCUGCUGAUGAUAGAAAUGGAAAUUAUCAGGAUGACGCCGUUGAUUCGCCUGAGAUCGUUUAAUCGCCGCCAUAAGCGAAUUCGAAACCGGUGGUUCAUGAUCAGAUGAAACGUUGUUAUGCGAAGAAGGUGAACGGUCAAGUGAUACUGAGAGACAAAGAUCAAGUGCUUUGAACUGUAAGCGUGGUGAGUAAGCCGAGUUUCUCGAACGAGAACAUGCGUCGCGGAGGAUUGAAGAAGAUGGAAGAGAUAACAAAGCGGAUAUUGCGUGAAGCGAGGUUGUUUGUGCGUGUCCGCGGCGUUUUGCGACGGCUACUGCGUCGUUUAAAGCUUGGAUUGCUUCUGGUGUUAAGCAUUGUCUUGCUGAUGAUACUGGUGUUGGCAUGGUUUGAAGUUUGUAUUCAUAAAACGAUGGAAUAACAGAAAAUAAUUUUGAUAUUAAUGAUGGAAGAAGGUGAGGUUUAUAAAUUAGAAAAGUGGUUUUAUGUUGUGAAGUGAGUACUACUGAGUGAGAGUAAGUAGUAGUAUAAUUUUGCACUUUGCAAUUUGUAAGAGCUUAUAUAAAUAAAUAUUAAUGUGUGGGAAUAAUGGGAGUGUUGUGAAAAUGAAAAUGAAAAUGAAAAUGGUGGGGCUAGAAAAGAUGGUGAGAUUGAUUCAAUGAGUGAACAAUGAGGACAUAUUCUUUUCUUUAUGUCGAUAAUAAUAUUCCAACAACAUUAUUAUUAUUAUUUAUGUGUAUUCUAUACGUAUGUAUAAGGAGAGAUUACUAGAUUAGAAUCGUUUUUGUUUUGAGGGGGUACAGGAUUGAGUUUGAGAGAGAUUUGUUUGUCGAUUAAUGGUGGAGAUGGUGGAGUUGAGUAUCAAAGUGUU
rnacentral:lncRNA from 1 species